CAAGCCGCCGCCUCCGCCGCGCCGUCUCGCCUCCUUGUCCCCGUGCGGGGCUGCUCUACGCGGCCACAGGCGAGGGGCGGCCCGCUGACCUCCGCGAGCCCGGGCAGCCGCCGCCGCCGCCAGAGCCGCCCGCAGGCAACGAGAGUCCCGGCCCGAGGCCAAUCUCGGAAGGUCAUGGAAGAGCCGGGGAGAGUGAAGCGGCCCAGCCGGUGCAGAUCCUCACCGAAGGCCUGCCCAGCGCGGGGCGCCCUUGCGGGAAGCAGAGCGGCUCUCAAAAUGCUGUCGGCGCGCAUCGCAAACAUUGCACGGAGGAAAGGAAAAAGUGGAGCGCUGUUUUAUUCUCCUCUGUAAUAUACACGGAAAUAUACACGAAAACCAG